GUUUUUUCCCGUAAAUUUACGCUUUCAGUUUGAAUCUAAAACCUAUACGCAAGGUGGUACUAAUUUGAGGAAGCACGUCCUCUGCAUCGAACGUCGCACCUGCUCGCCUGCCCGCCAGGCACCCUGGGCCACAUCGAGGGCUAAUGGGCCUGUUCUGGGAGUUCACCGUGGCGGAACUUUUGCAAUCCUCUGUCUCCUCCCCUGCACUCUUCAUCGCCCCCAGAGCUACACCCAAUCCCUCGCUCGCUCGGCGAGAUCCAAGGCGGCCGCGUCGGACACCCCGGAUAGCCGGACGACGAUGCGGCGGCAACGCAGGACAAGGUGAGCCGCUGGGCCGCGAGAUCUGCGCCUGCCCGCCUCCCUCCGCCAAUUCGGCCUGCUUCGAUUUCAAUUUAUUGCUGCUCGUUGACGUGUUCCUCCUCCCCCUCUGCCUCCGCUCAGUCUGCGUAGGAGCAGUGCGGCGAUUUUGACGAGUAGGAGAUGGAGCACGUCACAAGCACCCCGACUGCACCCUGAGGUUAUCCAUCAGGCAGACUAUCAUCGCAUUGCGGUUCACGAUGCUGCUCCCAAGCUUCCCGGCAAAGAUUGUGCGAGACGAGAUUGUGCGAGUCACAACUUACAUGACGCAGAUUCUUUUGCUAUACUUCGGAAGCCGGCAAUAGCAGCGGCAACGUCGAUGACGCAUCCACGGGCUGGACAAAACUUGAUUAGCUUACUACUGCAUCAAUAAUUUGUGCCUGCAGGACUCUUUCACAGAUCAUGUCAACGAGAUUAGCAAUUUGAAGAGGCUGCACAUGAUCUGAAAAUAUUGGCAUAUACAGUCCUGAACAUAAGUUUCAAAAUAGCAGGUGUGGAGUUUAGUCCUGUUCCGCUGUAAGGAAAGCCAUGACCUCCACACAGAUGAUGCAAGUGGAAACAAGCUAGACUCACAACUUUGGUUUUCAGGCAUCUUCACCAACAAAUAUUACCCUGCAAAUCGAGGACUUCAGAGCCUGGCUGCAGACCUCGCGGAGCACCAAUGACAGCCUCAAGCAGAUUCAGCAGAGCAAGGUG